GUAGGUGGCAAGCGUUGUCCGGAAUUAUUGGGCGUAAAGCGCGCGCAGGCGGUUCUUUAAGUCUGAUGUGAAAGCCCACGGCUCAACCGUGGAGGGUCAUUGGAAACUGGAGAACUUGAGUACAGAAGAGGAAAGCGGAAUUCCACGUGUAGCGGUGAAAUGCGUAGAGAUGUGGAGGAACACCAGUGGCGAAGGCGGCUUUCUGGUCUGUAACUGACGCUGGGGCGCGAAAGCGUGGGGAGCAAACAGGAUUAGAUACCCUGGUAGUCCACGCCGUAAACGAUGAGUGCUAAGUGUUAGGGGGGUUUUCCGCCCCCCUUAGUGCUGCAGCUAACGCAUUAAGCACUCCGCCUGGGAGUACGGCCGCAAGGCUG
rnacentral:rRNA from 1 species